ACACCUACCUGGCAGGAGAGAUACUAGGAUCAAGAAAGUGGUUUUCCCAGGGUGAGUCUUAUCCAUUGCACUCCAGAUGUGCUGACCUCUUCAGUUUCUCCAAAUUCGAGAAUUUGCAUAAUUUGUGGUAGUGGGAGACUGCAUUUGUGUUCUCUCUUG
ensembl:snRNA U1 U1 spliceosomal RNA